AUUGAACGCUGGCGGCAUGCCUAACACAUGCAAGUCGAGCGAGCGGCGGACGGGUGAGUAAUGUAUGGGGACUGCCCAAUCGAGGGGGAUGACUACUGGAAACGUUGGCUAAUGCCGCAUACUAUCGGAUGACCCAUCUGGGAUUAGCUAGUAGGUGGGGUAAAGGCUCACCUAGGCGACGCUCCCUAGCUGGCCUGAGAGGAUGAGCGGCAACACUGGGACGGAGACACGGCCCAGACUCCUACGGAGGCAGCAGUGGGGAAUAUUGGACAAUGGGCGAAAUCCUGAUGGAGCCAUGCCGCGUGUAUGAAGAAGGCCUUAGGGUUGUAAAGUACUUUCGUCAGGGAAGCGUUACCCGCAGAAGAAGCACCGGCUAACUCCGUGCCAGCAGCCGCGGUAAUAC
rnacentral:rRNA from 1 species